ACCCGGACUAUUCAUUCGCCCUACCUCGCUUUUGGCUAUACGCCUGCCUAGUUGAACACCGACAACGGCAGCAUGCACCCCGCCGCGUGCGCCUCCUCCGCCGCCGCCAGUGCCAGCGCUAUCUCGUCCCCGCUGCUGGCGGCGACGCUAGCGCUGCUGCUGCUGCCAUUGCCAUUGCCAGCCACCGCUUCGGGGUUUCCCGGCAGCAGGCUGAACCCGUGCAGGAACUGCGGGUGCGGCAUGAAGAAGUGGUGCUGUUGCUGGUGCCCGUGCCCGUGCCCGUGCCCGGCGUCAGACACGAACGCCCGCACGUCGGCCCUCUCAGCCGCCGCGUCCGACAGGAUCGGCGAGGAAGCGGGAGCGGCCUGCUGCGGCGGGCUGGUCGCGGCCUGCGGCGACGACUGGGACGAGGCGGACGCGAACGACGACGGCCGCUUCCGGCGCUUCUUCUCGUAGGCAAUGCCGCGCGCCUUGGCCUGGCUGUCGCGGACCUCGCGGAGGUAGAGGCGCACGGCGCGCGCGCCGAAGGGGUUGGCCUCGGGCCGGCCCCCGUGCUCCUCGAAGGCGGCGCGCAGGCGGCCGACGAGCGCGUCGAGGCUGCCCCAAGCCUGGCGCAGCGGG
rnacentral:misc_RNA from 1 species